rnacentral:rRNA from 1 species
CACACCGCCCGUCACACCACGAAAGCGGGUUAUACCAGAAGCCAGUGAGCUAACCGCAAGGAGGCAGCUGUCCAAGGUAAGACUCGUGAUUGGGGUG